rnacentral:misc_RNA from 1 species
AGGGAAAUAUGCCCUAUGAAUGGGACCGGAACAUGGACCCGCCGCUGUUUAUCAGGGUUUGCGGGCGACCGGAAACCACCCUGUCGUGUCUGCAUGCCGAAGAUCGGAACAUCGUGAAUGUCGAAAAUGUUGUCGAUCCUCGAUAUCGAACAGCUCGAAGUGAACAUGUUUCGCGGCACGAGCCCAAAGACGCGCUGGCAGCGCGUGUUCGGCGGGCAGGUGAUCGGUCAGGCGAUGG